GAUGAACGCUGGCGGCGUGCCUAAUACAUGCAAGUCGAGCGAACAGACGAGGAGCUUGCUCCUCUGACGUUAGCGGCGGACGGGUGAGUAACACGUGGAUAACCUACCUAUAAGACUGGGAUAACUUCGGGAAACCGGAGCUAAUACCGGAUAAUAUAUUGAACCGCAUGGUUCAAUAGUGAAAGACGGUUUUGCUGUUACUUAUAGAUGGUUCCGCGCCGCAUUAGCUAGUUGGUAAGGUAACGGCUUACCAAGGCAACGAUGCGUAGCCGACCUGAGAGGGUGAUCGGCCACACUGGAACUGAGACACGGUCCAGACUCCUACGGGAGGCAGCAGUAGGGAAUCUUCCGCAAUGGGCGAAAGCCUGACGGAGCAACGCCGCGUGAGUGAUGAAGGUCUUCGGAUCGUAAAACUCUGUUAUUAGGGAAGAACAAAUGUGUAAGUAACUAUGCACGUCUUGACGGUACCUAAUCAGAAAGCCACGGCUAACUACGUG
rnacentral:rRNA from 1 species